rnacentral:rRNA from 1 species
AGCGAACGCUAGCGGCGGGCCUAACACAUGCAAGUCGAGCGGAGAACUUCGGUUCUUAGCGGCGGACGGGUGAGUAACGCGUAGGUAAUGUGCCUUCUGGUGGGGAACAACCGUGCGAAAGCAUGGCUAAUACCGCAUAUGUCGAGAGAUGAAAGCCUUCGGGCGCCAGUAGAGCAGCCUGCGUCCCAUUAUUUAGUCCUAGUUGGUGAGGUAACGGCUCACCAAGGGUACGAUGGGUAGCUGGUCUGAGAGGAUGAUCAGCCACACUGGAACUGAGACACGGUCCAGACUCCUACGGGAGGCAGCAGUGGGGAAUAUUGCGCAAUGGGCGAAAGCCUGACGCAGCCACGCCGCGUGAGUGAUGAAGGCCUGGUUGUAAGCUCUGUCGGAGGGAAGAAGGCGGCAAGCCUGACGGUACCUCGCAAGAAAGACACCGGCUAACUCCGU